CAGCUCCACCCAGAUGUGAUGCUGCUCAUGUUAAACAAGAAGUGUAUCUCCAUUCCUUCCUGUGACUGCCAUGUGCCUGGUGAUCCAGUCCGCAUGCUCUUUGGCACAGGAUGCCUACUCCUCUCAACUUGCUGAAGUUCACCUGCAUGUUUCCAAACACUGGAAAUGCAGAGGAAACUGAAAAAGGGAUUUAGCAACAACAGCAACAACAGGAACAACUAAAGUUCUCUGUGUCUGAGACUUGACAAGUAACAUCAAACGUGGCCCGAGAAGAAAGCUAACCAACCAUGGCUUGCAGCAUCCUUCAACCAGAAGUCAUCUUUAGUCAAGAUUUGCUACCUAAUUUGUAGUGUUUCUGUUUGUACUCUUUGAGCAGAAGUCCUAAAAUUCUUGUGGUAUAAAGCUUUACUGGUUUCUGUCUGGUAAGAUACAAUGAGAGUGAUGGAAUGCUUUAACUCUUGUAGCAAUUGUCAGCCACCACCACCCUGGUGCUCUGGCUUCAGAAACCUAGAGCUGAGACCAGUAUUUCAUUGCUCCUGAGUUUAUGUCAUGUUUUUUAUUGUAUUUUGAAUAGUAUAUCUGUAAAACUCCAAAUUUAAAGAGCAGCUCAAUUCUCUUCUGUGCCAAGUGUCCUGAAACCCUGCUAAAAUUUCCUUUGCAGGUUAAUGGGUUUUUCUUAUUUAGUUGGGUCAAAUAGAUGGCAAUGCUAUAUCAUGUCAAGAGAAAGACAAGGAUGUUUUUUGAAUCAAAACAAAUAAAAACAGUUUACAGGUCCUUUUCUCACAAGAGAAAAAAGGAAUGUCACCAGAAAAACUCAUCAACUUAUGGAGGUAAUGAAAACAAGGGAAAAACAAAACCUAGAAAACAAAGAAAACCUGCAUUUUCUAGCCCAUGAUCAAGGAAAGUUUUAUAAAAUAAUUCAAAAGCAAUAUAUUUUUUCAGUGAAGUGUCAAAGAUCUCAUGGUUCUCUAAAAACUCAGGGAAUUAACUGGAGAUUUCAGAUGGUCAUUAAAAUACAGCGCUGCUCACUUUACUCAGUAUUUGGCAGUUCUGUUGCCUUCACAGACACGCAGAGAAAGGUUGUGGUUUGCCCUUUAGUGAUUUAAACUCUUAAUACUGCAUGAUGAAACCACCUGCAGUAAGCAAUUCCAUUUCUCCAGUGAGUCUCUGAAUGUUUGCUGGCACUGGGAUGCAGUGGUGCUGGUGUCCCACUGGUUAGAUCCUCAGCUUUUCCUUGAAAGACAGGCUACUGAAAGGGACUGUGAAGAGAAGUAAGAGAACUGAAGUAUUUGGCAAACCAUUAAACAAAGGAGGAAAUCACUUUGAUACCAAAAAGCAAAUACUAGGCAUACUUGGAACAUCAUUUAAAAGCAGCUUUAUUCAAAAUAAAAGUUAAC